AUUUUGGAUGCAAUUUUAAACUUAAACCUCAACCCUAAAGGACCAGAGUGGGACAUCUGAUAGCAUCAUAAUGUCUUAUGAGCGGAUUCUGGCAAUCCAAAAUCUGAACGAUGUUCAAAAUCCAUGGAAGGGGGUGACUAUGAACCGCUGCAUAGUGCUGGCACUGGUUGUACUGCUUGUGAGUUCAGGGGUCAAUGAAUUGCACGAGACUCUGGAUUCCCUUGUUGAGGACAAAUCUUUAAGCUCUUUUUUGGGAAGUCUGCAAGACGGUUCAAUGAUUAAGAUUUCUGUAUGGGACAAUGUCAUGAGUUGGUGGGGAUCUGAAGAAGUUGGAGCGAUAAGAAAAAGAAAAAAGCCGAUCGGCAAUAAAGUAAUCAUGAAACCCAAAACUAAAGAAUGAAUUUUAAUACAGCUAAUUC